rnacentral:tRNA from 1 species
GCGAUAUUAAGUUAAUUAGACUGUUUGUUUUCAAAACAAUUAGAGGUUACUUUGCCAUGUCGCG